AAUGUUGACCUCGGAUCAGGUAGGAAUACCCGCUGAACUUAAGCAUAUCAUAGUCGGGGAGGAAUA
rnacentral:rRNA from 1 species